ACGAAUUAGAAAAUUAUAUAAAUUAAAUCAAACACCUGCUUCAUAAAAGCGUCCGCGACUGUAAUUGAAACAUGCACUAUCUUCAACUUUACAUACACUCGUACAACAUUUCAGAUAGAGAAUAAAUUUCAAAUGAUUCAAUAGAAAGACAGAUAGCACAUCCCCAAACCGGUCAGGCGUCUACCAGGUUUCUUAUCCCAUCCGCAUACAAGGAGCAAAACCCAUAUAAACGCACACUUUCAAAGCAUCAUGUCAUCUCGAACCAUAUCCUAACUCUGGUACCGGGUGGAUGGUCCAUUAGUGUUGGGUUAGGACACUAUAAGUUGAUUUAAUGUGCCGGCACUGUUCACUCCUACAUACAUAUACUCGUAGUAUACCCCAUUUCCUACCCUUUCUAUACCCCCAAAACGCCACAACUUUCUUUUCUUCUUCUUUAGCUUGUUCUUCUUCAUGAUUGUAAUGUCCGUUGAGCACAAUUACAUAUGGACUUGGACAUAUUAUUAUUCUUCAAAAAAAGUUUUGGGAUUUUCUUUUGAGAUAUGUACGAAUACGAAUACGAAUCCUUGCAAGGAUACUUAUUUUACUUCGUCAUGUUGUUCGCAUAAGACACGAGAGUAGCAGAGAGGGUGAGAGGAGUACGAAGAAAGUUUUUGUGUAUUCUUAUAACCCCCUUCUUAUGCGGGACCAGGCCAUAACUCAUCCAUCAAUUUUCACUUGCCGUACAAGCACCCACAUAAUACACACAUCCUUUCGUCCUUUUUUUUUGUCUCCUUUCGCACGCAGAACACAUUCUAUUCCGUAAGUUGUGUAAUGCUAGAGAGAGUUAUUGGCCCUAUGGCUAGUCGUAGGCAUUUUCCGAUUUAACCAUCAGUACACUAAACAUUUUCACUAUACUAUCCUUUGAAGAGGGUUCGAGAAUUUAGUUGUUGGGUUUGGUGAGGUCCGAGAGGCGAGUGUAAAGGCGGGAAGCUGAAGUUUGGUUUGCGAAAACCUAAAACGGGAUGUAGGAACUUUGAAGGACAUGUGCGAUGGCGGCCGACCACCCGUCCUCUCACCAUACCAUGCCGCCGGAAGGUCGGGAAAUUGGACCAAAAGGACUUCUUCUCUAUCAUCACACACAUCCUUCUAAGUAAACCAUUUUUCGCAAGGUUUUGGAAUGCAGGAGCUAGAGAUGGAUAACAAGAAUGUCAUGUCCUUUUAGAAAUAAUAAGAAAGGACUAACUAAAUCCGGGUAACACUUCGAUGUAGCUUCAAAAAUGCCUGUGGAAGCUUAUUCCCAACACAAUUUCCUUCGAUAUUGUUUCACAAAAUUAUAUAAACAAUUAUUUUGUUUUUAAAUCUUAUAAUGUGGUUGGAGAUAUUCAGCUUAACGGUCUACUGAUGGAAUUUUAUAAAGGACUAUCUUUAGCUCCGAAAUUCCAAUUACAAAAUUAUAAAAGUGAAAUUCUAUAAAACCACAAUAAAUAAAUAAAUUAGGUGGCGCAACAGUCCAUGAAGAACCAGGUCCUAGUGACUUACAACUCUCAACCAUUCCUGUGUGCGAGUAAUGUUGUCAGAGAUAGAAGGGACCUACAGUUUAUAUGCCGAAUCCGAACGGUUAAUUUGAGAAAGCACUUUUCAUGACAAGAAUUACUCUUGAAGGAUUUGUCAAUUCCUAGCAAGAGGCAGUACCCGCGAAAACUUGUUUUUUUUUUUUAAAGUAAGGUGGCACAGGCAGGGAUUGUACCCAAGACCUAUUGCAUGACAGUCCAACGCACUAACCAUCACGCCACGGGUACUAAAGGUUACGUCUAAAAUGGGAAAAUCCAUAGAAUUUAAAUUGCCAUUUGGUUCGGUCGUGUAGCAAUUACUGAUUACUUUCAUUCAAAGUAAUUUCGUUACACUAUUAAUUUAUCAAAAUAUUUGAUAAAAUUUCAAGUUUGAAAAGAAAUACAGGAUUCGAAGGACAUUGAACGACAACGUCUUGGA